rnacentral:rRNA from 1 species
AGUGAACGCUGGCGGUAGGCCUAACACAUGCAAGUCGAACGGCAGCACAGUAAGUGCUUGCUCUUACGGGUGGCGAGUGGCGGACGGGUGCGGAAUACCUCGGUAUCUACUUUUUCGUGGGGGAUAACAUGGGGACACUUACGCUAUUACCGCAUACGACCUACGGGUGAAAGCAUCGGAUCUUACGCCCUUGCGCGAUUCAAUGUGCCGAUGUCGGAUUAGCUAGUUGGCGGGGUAAAGGCCCACCAAGGCGACGAUCCGUAGCUGGUCUGAGAGGAUGAUCAGCCACACUGGAACUGAGACACGGUCCAGACUCCUACGGGAGGCAGCAGUGGGGAAUAUUGGACAAUGGGCGCAAGCCUGAUCCAGCCAUACCGCGUGGGUGAAGAAGGCCUUCGGGUUGUAAAGCCCUUUUGGUGGGAAAGAAAAGCAGCAGGUUAAUACCUCGCUGUUCUGACGGUACCCAAAGAAUAAGCACCGGCUAACUUCGUG